UUACACAAUAACCGCAGAGGUGAAGAGAGAAGGAAAUCGUCGGCUUUUCUCUGUUUUUGCAUCUCCUUCCUUAACUCCUGGAAAUCUCGAACGUUUGUCCAACGUACCUCAGCAAUUAUUUAUUGAAGCUUCUCAUUACAACGAAUUGGCCCCGAACUUUGUCUAGGAAUCUCUCCUCUCUUUGGCGGAGGCUCCCGGAUUGGCUGGAAUUUGAACAUGCGCAGAAGCUCAGCAAACCCAGGGCGGGAUGGUGCACUCGCGGGCAACGCCUCUCUUCCCCUGACAACGGGAAGCGGGUGAGCGUCAAGACGCCUGCGCAAACGUGGCCGGGGCGCCGGGGUGGUGGGUUACGCCUGGAGAGCGCAUGGGCAGACAAACUGUACGUCCGUUUGUCCGGAGCGGAGGGGAGAGUGGGCGCCAUCUUCUUCUAGGCUCACUGAGGGCUCCACCUGUACUGGGCAGGCUGCUGCGACGAGGAGUGCCCCCCGCCCCCGGCCUUGUGUGUCCGACUCGGCAGCAGUGUUAAGUUGCUUUUACAGAAUUAACAGGUCUCCAAGAAAUUUUAAAAAGAUCUCUUCUAGGAGUGAGUCUCAAGAUGUUCUGAAGUGACUGCACAGAGGUGAUCUUUUGAAGGGGGACAUGAGCCCGACAAUGCUUUUUUAUGUGAAGAACAAAUAAGGUAAGAUGGUUUGUAAUAUAACUAGAUGCCUAACUGCAAAAAAAUUAGCUGCUGCCAGAAUUUGUCUCAGCAGUUCUCGUAAGGCAUGGACUACCUAAGAAAAGUAGCAAGUUCUUUCUCUGUUCCUCACUACAUAUUUUCUCUGUUUGUUUCCAAGAAACCCUGUAUUUAAAGGAUCCUUUUUCUUCUUGGUACCUGUUUGAUACCAUUUUAUUUGCCCUGGUCCCACAACUGUCCCUAGACUCCUCUCUCCCCACAAUCUCUAUAUGGCAUAAUAGUAAUAGCAUAUGCCUGUAGUUUGUUAUAUCUAACUGUAUCCUUUGCCUGAAAGGUGUUGCCAGGGGUUCUCUUACACAUCCCUCAGACUUCUCAUUAAGAAAUCAUUCUUUGAUUUCUCCAGACUGUUUAGAAUCCUCCAUCACAUAUACUUACAGCACACUAUAUUUUUUAUGAGACUGGUCAUAUUAUAAAACUUAAAUAGUUAUAUAGUACAGACAUACCUGGUUCUAUUGCAUUUCACUUUAUUGUGCUUCACAGAUAUUCUGUUUUUUACAAAUGGAAGGUUUGUGGCAACCCUGCUUCAAGCAAGUCUAUCGGUGCUGUUUUCCCCACAGCAUCUGCUCACUUCAUGUCUCUGUCACAUUUUGGUAAUUAUUGCAAUAGUUUAAACUUUGUCAUUAUUAUUAUUACUAUAUGUGUUAUGGUGACCUGUCAUCAGUGAUUAUGACUCACUGAAAGCUCAGAUAAUGGUUAGCAUUUUUUAGCAAUAAAAUAUUUAAUUUAGGUAUGUACACUUUUUUAAAGAUCUAAUGCUAUUGCAUACUUAAGAGACUAUAGUAUACAACAUUGUAUAUUAACUAUACUAGAAUUAAAAUUAAAAACUUAAACAAAUAGACUACCGUAUAGUGUAAACAUUAACUUUUAUAUGCACUGGGAAACUAAAAAAUUCAUUUGACUUGCUUUGUUGUGAUAUUCCUUUUGUUGCAGAGUUCUGGACUGCUGCAAUCUCUGUGAGGUAUGCCCGUAUAUGUUUUUUAAUGUCUGAACUCCAUGGUAGAUUUUUAAGUUUUUGAUUUGACAACUCAGAGCAUUUCUAACCAAUAAUGCUAAAUCCUCAGAAAUAAGAAUGCUGCCUGGCAUAUAAUAGGUGCUCAAUUAACAGUUUCUGAAUGAACAUUUAAUGAAGUAAUAAAUCCUGUAUCUCCAUUUUAGGGAUAAGGAAGCUGAAAUAUGAAGAACUUGCUCAAUAUUGCCCCACUACAAAGUGGGGAAGUUGAUACUUUGUCAAAAACAUAGCUACCACACAGCCUUGAGAUCUUUAGUUUUUUAUGAACCUAUCCUCUCAUGAGCUACCUAGCUAGCUGAUUGAGAACAGUAGUAAGAGAAGUGGUAGGACAAAAAGAACCUAGAUAGGACCUCUGGGAUGAGAAGGAAAAUCUUGGGGUCCAAAGGAAUUGAAGGAACUUUAGUGACUGUUAACAAAUGGCAUGUCAAGGGCGUUAGAAAAAGAAUGAAAAUACUUUUAAAGAGGACUCCAGCGUUGUAGGAAAAGUGAGGGAUCAAUUCUGAACCUGCCACUCAAUGCAGUGUUGUUUCUUGUAGGGAAUGGUGCACCUCACUCAAAGAAGCACCCUUUUUGCAGGACAGAGAGGACACAAACACAGUGUCAGUAGUCAGACUUCUGGGUUUGGCUCCCAGCUAUAUUACUUAUUGGUUAUGGGACCCUCAUUCUGCCUCAGUUUUCUCUUCCAUAGAAAUGAGGAUGAUAAGUACUUCUAUCUAGUUGGCGGGAGAAUUAAAAUAGAAUUAAAAUGUGUAGAUCAGUAGCCGUCCAAAGUAAUCACUAUGUAAACGUUGCUAUUUUAUUAUUUUACAAAUGACAUAAAAGCUUGAUCUAUUUUUUUAAAAAACAGGACAUGAAAGGAGUGUAAAUUAAGAAACCGUAGCUUUAAUAUUUGGAAGGAAUGGACCCUUAGGAAGCCAUCUAUGGACAAACAAUAAACAGAAAUAUGAUCAUAUAUGCAUAACUGGUAUAAAACUGGGAGAUGAGAUUCUGGCAUUGGAAAACAUAUACACAUAUAUUAAAACAUGUGCCUUUCUUCAUUUUAGUCAAGCUGUAAUCUGAUUUUACUGAAUUAAGUUUCCUGGAACCAAUGGAGUAGUGAGAAGAGAAGGCACAGGUGAUUGUUUUAUGAUGGAUAGUUAAUAUAAUAACCAACUUGGGGAGUCGUCACAAUUGUCAAAUGCAGACACUCCCAAAUUCUAUCACUUAUUAAUACAGAAUUCUGGUUAUAUCUUGAAACUACCUGGCUUUUUUUACUUCUACUACAGAGAUGAAAUAUGGACAAAGCAUGUCUUCAAUAUUUUAUCUGUUUUUGCAAAAAUACUUUUCUGCCUUUUUUCUUCCCUCUUAGAAGGUAGGAGGGUAGGAUAUUUACUCUUCGAUGUGCUUGUUGAAGCCAGGCUUUGAUAUUUAGAUAUCUAACAUUAGUUGGCCAAUUGAAUUUGCACUGAACACUCAGUACAAAGCAAGCCUUAUUAUAAAUCUACAUUUAUUUCAUAGCAUGCUGAUUAAGUCACACAAAACUGGUGAGAAUCCUGAUUCUGCUAUGUAUAGCUAAGUGGCUAUGGUCAAGUUAAGUUACUUAAAGCCUCUAAACCUGUUUUUGUAGUUGUAAAAUGAGAAGAGUAACAGCACCUACCUUACAGGAUUGUGUGAGGAGUGAAUGAGAAAAUGCAUGUGAAGCUUUAGGUAUUCUGCAUAGCCUAAGCACUCAGAUGUUAGCACAAAUCAAUGAUAUGGUUAGUAUAUUUAAGUGAUUUACAUCACCAGUCGAAAUGAUACAUUAUUUCACAUAAUGGCCUUAUUAACUAGCUAUUAAUAAAUUAACUUUUAGAACUUUACCAUGGUUAAUUUGAAAAGUUAAAAAUACAUACUUAGAAAAUCACAGAAGUUCAGCUAUUUGGGACUGCACUGUAGUGUUCAAAUUUAAGAUAUUUUUACCCACACAACCUAAUGCUUUCUUUUAAAUAUUUCCAUCUUAAUAGAAGAACUGAACUUGGAUAGACAUAGUCCUACCUCCAAAUCCUCUUCUUCAUCAAUCUUUUUUAUGUUUUGGUAAGCAGCUGUGUAGACCUCUAAAGCUUUGCCAUGAAAUAACAUUUCAAUAGUGAUAAAUUCUGAAAAUAUAGUCUAAAAAAAAAAAAAAAACAAAAGACACCGAAGAUUUGAAUUUAAACAAUCAUAUGAAUUUGUGAAUUUAGUAUAUUUAUUCCUUACCAUAGUCUUGGCAUUUUAUGAAAUACAGAGGUAUCUCUUUUUCCACAGGGCAAAUGAAGUACAAAAGAUAACAGGAGUAAAAAUAGUUGCAAAGACCUUUUACAACACAACCUUGAAAUUAUACAAAAUAUUUCCUAUCUCACCAUUUACUUCCCUCUUAGUUUUUAAGUUAGUGUUUUGUAUACCUUGUAAUUGACAUUUGUGAUAAAAAAAAUCUGACUAAAAUGUAUAUACCAUUAUGUACUCUGUUACAAUAUGUCUAUUAAGUAUUAGAUAAAGCAGGUCAGUUCUAAACCUGGUAUUUUAUAAUUCCAACUGAUGCUUAAAUAAUAGUAUGUUUUUCAGACAGGAAUUAUAUCUCAUCAUGUUUCUCUGUGUUCUUGUUCUCUAACCACAAAGGAAUUACUUGGUAAUUAUAUUGUUACCACUAAUAAUAGUGUCAUUCACUUGCAUAGAGCCUUCCAGUUUACAAAUAUAUGACUUGCCUAAUGUUACUCACAGCUAGAAUGUUGAAACUUGGGUCUGAUUCUUCAAAGGUUGCAGCUCUUGCUUAUUGUACUGUGCUAUUCUUGCUGGAAUCAAUCAUUUCUUUCACAAAUAAACUUCAUGUAAACCUUAUGAGCUUGAUAACAACUUAUGACAAGGAAGAUGAUGCGCUAAGAGAAUGAAUGAAGAUGUACAUGUUGAUCUAAGCAGGGGUGAGAUAAUCAGUAGGAAAGGAAAGGAUACAAACCAGACAAGUUUUCAAUAAAAUAGGAUCUUAUCCUUUUGUUAUCUUGUCCCUUAUCAAAAUAAAAAAUCAGAAUUUUUGUUAAAGUAGGAGUGGGCAGAAUAAGAACAAGGUAGAAAAUACUCAAGCAUUGUCCUUAAAGGGGCAAGAGAGAAGACAUGGGUUAUAGAAGACAAGAGUCAAAUACCCUUUUCUCAUCAUUCCUGCUCUCCUGUGUUCACCACCCAGCUAGGAGUGGUCCUGCACUUUGGAAGACAGUGUUACAGGUAUCCCUUAGUGUCCUGUAAUUUCCCCCCACCCUUCUCCAUUCUUUCUUAAGGAUCAGAAGAAUAUUUAAGGGAGUACUAAUAGGCUUCUGAUCACUACUUAAUGUAAACAGAUCUGUAGUUAAAAAGUAUCCAUUCUGGUCUGCAAAGACUGGGCUCUGGGAUAAGACAAAACUAUGACUCAACAGUGACCCUUUCACACAGGUCACAGAGGAUUCUGGUAUACUGCAGUGGCAACUAAGAAGCAGCAUUAUGUCCAAGAAUCUCCAGAUCCCAGGAAAUACCUUCGAAGUGAACUGGCUUUUGAUUAGGACUGGGACUUACUCACUUAGGUGUCAGUCUUCCUAAGAUAGCUGCCUAGCUUAGAAGUGCCCUUUAGGAGUGUGGAAACUCUCAGAGGGAAAACAGCACAAUGAGGAGUCAGUGAUAAGCCAAAACACUGGAAGACUCCUACUUGGUUCUUGGUCUGCAGCUGAUUUUAGGUAAUGGGAACAAUCAAGCACAGGCUUACAUCUUUCCUUCUGAAUCUUAAAUUUAGAGAUUUUCUACAUUUAGUAAAUAAAGAACUAUAUAAGAAUAUAUAGACAUAGUUUGACUUUAUUUUUAUUCAAGGCUGGAACAGAAAAUUUUUUCAUUUACUUAAGCUUAGAAUUAUACAAUAAACCCUUAAACUUUUUUCAGGUAAGUACAGAGGGAGGUGGAAAAGCACAUUUUACAAUGUUAUAUAGUCAACUCUCUGUUUUAGUUUUUCUUGGAUAUUUACAGACCAUCUGUUUACUUACGUGGAGAGAGAAGAGAAGGUAUUUACCUUAUGCUAUUAAAGUACCUGAGAAAUAAAAUAGCCUCAAAUAAGGGAUUAAGCUUAAUCACUCAAGUGAGUUAGGUGUUACUCUUAUUUUUACAUAUUUCCACAAAUGGAUGUUUUAAAUCUUUUAAUAGACUGUCACACUAUUUAGUAACUAGUGAAAUUCAAACAUUUAUGACCUUAUUACACCUAAAUUUGUAGUUUAGGCUUAAUUCAAAUCUAUUCCACUGUGGUACCUUUGUGGAAUAUGUGACUAUUUUAAAAUAUUUUUCAAAUAUGUGAAUAUAGUUAUUAAAUUUCUGAUGGUCAAAAUCUCUGUCAUCUCUGAACUAACAAUUACUUAAUACUAGCAUUUUAUAGGAUUUAUAUUCCCCUUAGCUCAUAAGCCCUGAAAGAUAUGUAGAUAUGUCUGUCAAUACACUCUUUUUCUUUAUUCAUAUCCUCUGAUAAAUUACUACAUUCUCAUUUUAAGACACUGAUGAACUUUUAGUCUGUUACCAUUUUCCAGUCUCAAAAUUUAGUUUUAAUUAGUGAUAAGUACUUUACAAAUUAUCUUUAUAAAUGGCUAUUAUUUACUAGUUGGAAGGUGGGGGGAAAUCACUCUCAAGUUCUGUGAUACUUUGGUUUAAGCCUCUGUGGUUUGAACUUUUAUUUCUUGACAAAAUCUCUAUUAGAACACCUGAAUAAGAGGAGAAUGGACCUAUUGAUUUUUUUAUACUGUUUAUUUUUCUGUCAGAAACAGUAUGAGAAAGCAGUAGUACUGGUAAUUUACUAUCCCAGACUUGGAAUUUUUGACCAAGAGUCAUGAAGCCUAAAGAUUAUCACAGAGGAGAGUUAUAUCCCUGAGUACAGUCAGAAGAAAUCCUACCAAUUAUACUCUUUCUAGUUAGAAUUUCAUAAAAUACCCAAAAAUAGGCAGAAGGAAGAAGAAUAAUAGCAAAGAACAUAAAAGUUAGAUGACAACUAAUAUAAGAAAGAAUAUAAAAGGCAUGUUUUUGAAAUAAAA